GCGGAUGGCUGGAUGGCCGCGAGUUCCCGUAGCCCCGUGAAUGCGGGUAGCCGGGGGCCCGAGGAAAGUCCGGACUCCAUGAAGCAACGGUGCCGGGUAACGCCCGGGCGGGGAAACCCGACGGAAAGCGCCACAGAAAACAAACCGCCUCGGUUUCGGCCGGGGUCAGGGUGAAACGGUGGGGUAAGAGCCCACCGCGGGACUGGUAACAGGACCGGCACGGCAAGCCCCACCGGGAGCAACGCCGAAUAGGGAUCGCGCGCUGCGCCGCUUGCGGUGACGGCAGGGGAGCUUCGCCCCGAGCGGUCCGGGUUGGCAGCUAGACCCUGUGAGCAAUCGCAGGGCGAGAGGAAUGGUCAUCCAUGGGGGUGCAAGCCUCCGGGACAAAAUCCGGCUUACAGGCCAUCCGCGCAA
rnacentral:RNase_P_RNA from 1 species